CUACGGGACGCUCCAGUGGGGUAUAUUGGGCAAUGGGCGAAAGCCUGACCCAGCAACGCCGCGUGAUUGAAGAAGGUCUUCGGAUUGUAAAGAUCUGUCCUUGGGGACGAAAAAAAUGACGGUACCCAAGGAGGAAGCCCCGGCUAACUACGUGCCAGCAGCCGCGGUAAUACGUAGGGGGCGAGCGUUGUCCGGAAUUACUGGGCGUAAAGGGUGCGCAGGCGGCGCUUUAAGUCAGAUGUGAAAUAUUCGGGCUCAACCCGAAGGGUGCAUUUGAAACUGGAGUGCUUGAGUGCAGGAGAGGAAAGUGGAAUUCCUAGUGUAGCGGUGAAAUGCGUAGAUAUUAGGAGGAACACCAGUGGCGAAGGCGACUUUCUGGACUGUAACUGACGCUGAGGCACGAAAGCGUGGGGAGCAAACAGGAUUAGAUACCCUAGUAGUC
rnacentral:rRNA from 1 species